GACGUAGGGUGCAAGCGUUUGUCCGGAUUUAUUGGGCGUAAAGAGCUCGUAGGCGGCUUGUUGCGUCGACUGUGAAAACCCGCGGCUUAACCGCGGGCUUGCAGUUGAUACGGGCAGGCUAGAGUUCGGUAGGGGAGACUGGAAUUCCUGGUGUAGCGGUGAAAUGCGCAGAUAUCAGGAGGAACACCGGUGGCGAAGGCGGGUCUCUGGGCCGAUACUGACGCUGAGGAGCGAAAGCGUGGGGGAGCGAACAGG
rnacentral:rRNA from 1 species